CCAAAGGGCCUUCAUUGUUGAAAAAGAUGUGUCGCCGGCAGACGCUGCUGUGCAAGGUGCUGCUUCUAUUGUUCUUGCGCCAGCUGUCACCCAUCACGCGGGCACCACUACGACUGGUUUUGCCACAAGCGCCUUGGUGUCCUGAUGUCGCAGGGAAUUGUUGUGUGACCACAUCGUCAGCAAAGUAUGAAGCAUCAUCAUUUCCACCUCAUCCCCCCUCGCAAUUCUGGAUCGUGCAGCGUUCUCCAUUCAGCAAGAUGGAACAGUCAGUGAACAAAUCUGCGCAAUACUGUUGCAUGGUGGAAAUCAUACAGGUACCAUGGGUGUUAAGAAGUUUUGAUAUUUUUUCCAUGGGUGUUAUAAAUUCCAGAUGUAAAGAUAAUUAAAUGAAAUAAAGCUUCUCUGACAGUUUUUAUUUACACAAUAUGUCG